UCUUUGAUUCUUUCUCUCAAGGGAAGAUGGAUAYCUUGUUUUAAAUUUUUAUUUAGUAUUUAUUAUAUUAAGUAUAUUUAAAAUUUAGAUUCCCGCAUUCCCAGGGCGCUUGUAUCUCGCUCUGCGAGUCUAUGCGCACCUAGAGCGUACACGAUGAUACCCGAAAGAUGGUGAACUAUGCCUGGCCAGGACGAAGCCAGGGGAAACCCUGGUGGAGGUCCGCAGCGAUUCUGACGUGCAAAUCGAUCGUCAGAGCUGGGUAUAGGGGCGAAAGACCAAUCGAACCAUCUAGUAGCUGGUUCCCUCUGAAGUUUCCCUCAGGAUAGCUUGCGCUCGGUUGAGAAGAGUCUCAUCCGGUAGAGCGAAUGAUUAGAGGCAUUGGGGUCGAAACGACCUC
rnacentral:rRNA from 1 species